rnacentral:rRNA from 1 species
CGGCGUGCUUAACACAUGCAAGUCGAGCGGAAAGGCUCCUUCGGGGGUACUCGAGCGGCGAACGGGUGAGUAACACGUGAGUAAUCUGCCCUUGGCUUCGGGAUAGCCACCGGAAACGGUGAUUAAUACCGGAUACGACACAUCACUGCAUGGUGCGUGUGUGGAAAGUUUUUUCGGCCAGGGAUGUGCUCGCGGCCUAUCAGCUUGUUGGUGGGGUAAUGGCCUACCAAGGCUUCGACGGGUAGCCGGCCUGAGAGGGUGACCGGCCACACUGGGACUGAGACACGGCCCAGACUCCUACGGGAGGCAGCAGUGGGGAAUAUUGGACAAUGGGCGGAAGCCUGAUCCAGCAACGCCGCGUGAGGGAUGACGGCCUUCGGGUUGUAAACCUCUUUCAGCACAGACGAAGCGCAGGUGACGGUAUGUGCAGAAGAAGGACCGGCCAACUACGUGCCAGCAGCCGCGGUAAUACGUAGGGUCCGAGCGUUGUCCGGAAUUAUUGGGCGUAAAGGGCUCGUAGGCGGUUUGUCGCGUCGGGAGUGAAAACACCGGGCUUAACUCGGUGCUUGCUUCCGAUACGGGCAGACUAGAGGCAUUCAGGGGAGAACGGAAUUCCUGGUGUAGCGGUGAAAUGCGCAGAUAUCAGGAGGAACACCGGUGGCGAAGGCGGUUCUCUGGGAAUGUCCUGACGCUGAGGAGCG